CCUACGGGGGGCAGCAGUGGGGAAUAUUGGACAAUGGGCGAAAGCCUGAUCCAGCCAUGCCGCGUGUGUGAAGAAGGCCUUCGGGUUGUAAAGCACUUUCAGUGGGGAAGAAAGCCUUGGGGCUAAUACCCUCGAGGAAGGACAUCACCCACAGAAGAAGCACCGGCUAACUCCGUGCCAGCAGCCGCGGUAAUACGGAGGGUGCGAGCGUUAAUCGGAAUUACUGGGCGUAAAGCGCGCGUAGGCGGUCUGAUAAGCCGGUUGUGAAAGCCCCGGGCUCAACCUGGGAACGGCAUCCGGAACUGUCAGGGUAGAGGGCAGGAGAGGAAGGUAGAAUUCCCGGUGUAGCGGUGAAAUGCGUAGAGAUCGGGAGGAAUACCAGUGGCGAAGGCGGCCUUCUGGACUGACACUGACGCUGAGGUGCGAAAGCGUGGGUAGCAAACAGGAUUAGAUACCCCGGUAGU
rnacentral:rRNA from 1 species